rnacentral:rRNA from 1 species
UAAGGGCGCACGGUGGAUGCCUUGGCACUAGAAGCCGAUGAAGGACGUUACUAACGACGAUAUGCUUUGGGGAGCUGUAAGUAAGCUUUGAUCCAGAGAUUUCCGAAUGGGGAAACCCAGCAUGAGUUAUGUCAUGUUAUCGAUAUGUGAAUACAUAGCAUAUCAGAAGGCACACCCGGAGAACUGAAACAUCUUAGUACCCGGAGGAAGAGAAAGAAAAUUCGAUUCCCUUAGUAGCGGCGAGCGAAACGGGAAGAGCCCAAACCAACAAGCUUGCUUGUUGGGGUUGUAGGACACUCUGUACGGAGUUACAAAGGACGACAUUAGACGAAUCAUCUGGAAAGAUGAAUCAAAGAAGGUAAUAAUCCUGUAGUCGAAAAUGUUGUCUCUCUUGAGUGGAUCCUGAGUACGACGGAGCACGUGAAAUUCCGUCGGAAUCUGGGAGGACCAUCUCCUAAGGCUAAAUACUCUCUAGUGACCGAUAGUGAACCAGUACCGUGAGGGAAAGGUGAAAAGCACCCCGGAAGGGGAGUGAAAUAGAACCUGAAACCGUGUGCUUACAAGUAGUCAGAGCCCGUUAAUGGGUGAUGGCGUGCCUUUUGUAGAAUGAACCGGCGAGUUACGAUUUGAUGCAAGGUUAAGCAGUAAAUGUGGAGCCGUAGCGAAAGCGAGUCUGAAUAGGGCGUUUAGUAUUUGGUCGUAGACCCGAAACCAGGUGAUCUACCCUUGGUCAGGUUGAAGUUCAGGUAACACUGAAUGGAGGACCGAACCGACUUACGUUGAAAAGUGAGCGGAUGAACUGAGGGUAGCGGAGAAAUUCCAAUCGAACCUGGAGAUAGCUGGUUCUCUCCGAAAUAGCUUUAGGGCUAGCCUCAAGUGAUGAUUAUUGGAGGUAGAGCACUGUUUGGACGAGGGGCCCCUCUCGGGUUACCGAAUUCAGACAAACUCCGAAUGCCAAUUAAUUUAACUUGGGAGUCAGAACAUGGGUGAUAAGGUCCGUGUUCGAAAGGGAAACAGCCCAGACCACCAGCUAAGGUCCCAAAAUAUAUGUUAAGUGGAAAAGGAUGUGGCGUUGCCCAGACAACUAGGAUGUUGGCUUAGAAGCAGCCAUCAUUUAAAGAGUGCGUAAUAGCUCACUAGUCGAGUGACACUGCGCCGAAAAUGUACCGGGGCUAAACAUAUUACCGAAGCUGUGGAUUGUCCUUUGGACAAUGGUAGGAGAGCGUUCUAAGGGCGUUGAAGCAUGAUCGUAAGGACAUGUGGAGCGCUUAGAAGUGAGAAUGCCGGUGUGAGUAGCGAAAGACGGGUGAGAAUCCCGUCCACCGAUUGAC